rnacentral:rRNA from 1 species
UGAAAAUUCUUAGACUAUUAUAAAUAAUAAAAGGUAAAAUUUAAUUGUUAUUUUAUAUAAUAUAAAUAAUUUUAAUGGAAACUAAAAAGUCCAAUUAUAAACUAGGAUUAGAUACCCUAUUAUUUUGGAAAUAAGAAAUAAAAACUAAACUAGUAUUAGUUAUAUACUUUAAAAUUAAAAAAUUUGGCGGUGAUUUAAUCUUUUCAGAGGAAUUUGUUUUUUAAUCGAUAGACCACGAAAAAUCUUACUUGUUUUUGUUUAUUAUAAGUUCAGUUUGUAUACCAUCAUUAUCAGAUAAUUCUAAAAGGGAAAAUUAUCAAAUAUAGUUAAUUAUCAAAAUUAGAUCAUGGUGCAGCUUAUAAACAAGUUAAAAUGAAUUACAAUAAAUUAUUUUAAAUGAAUUGAUAAAAUAAUUUUUAUUAUGAAGGAGGAUUUGAUAGUAUUAUAAUUUUAAUAAGUUUAUAAGAUAAUGGCUCUAAAUCAUGUACAUAUCGCCCGUCGCUUU